rnacentral:rRNA from 1 species
GACGUAGGGCGCGAGCGUUGUCCGGAUUUAUUGGGCGUAAAGAGCUCGUAGGCGGCUUGUUGCGUCGACUGUGAAAACCCGCGGCUUAACUGCGGGCUUGCAGUUGAUACGGGCAGGCUAGAGUUCGGUAGGGGAGACUGGAAUUCCUGGUGUAGCGGUGAAAUGCGCAGAUAUCAGGAGGAACACCGGUGGCGAAGGCGGUUCUCUGGGCCUUACCUGACGCUGAGACGCGAAAGCGUGGGGAGCGAACCGG